CUACGGGUGGCAGCAGUGGGGAAUAUUGGACAAUGGGGGAAACCCUGAUCCAGCAAUGCCGCGUGUGUGAAGAAGGCCUGCGGGUUGUAAAGCACUUUCGGUUGGGAGGACUGCUUCUAGCACUAAUAUUGUUGGAAGUUGACGUUACCUUCAGAAGAAGCACCGGCUAACUCCGUGCCAGCAGCCGCGGUAAUACGGGGGGUGCAAGCGUUAAUGGGAAUUACUGGGCGUAAAGCGCGCGUAGGCGGCUAGAUCAGUCGGGUGUGAAAGCCCCGGGCGUAACCAGGGAACUGCAUCCGAUACUGUCUAGCUUGAGUACAGGAGAGGAGAGGGGAAUUCCACAUGUAGCGGUGAAAUGCGUAGAUAUGUGGAGGAACACCAAUGGCGAAGGCAGCUCUCUGGCCUGAUACUGACGCUGAGGUGCGAAAGCGUGGGGAGCAAACAGGAUUAGAUACCCGUGUAGUC
rnacentral:rRNA from 1 species